rnacentral:rRNA from 1 species
UUGAAAGGGAAACGAUUGAAGUCAGUCGUGCGGUCAUCGAUUCAACGGUUUAAACGUGAGCUUCUGCUUAUGUUUUUCCGUGCAUUUUGGUGUCUGCUGGUCAGCAUCAAUUUCGAUUGUCAUAAAAAGGUCGAGGGGAUGUGGCUCCUUCGGGAGUGUUAUAACCCUUGGCGGAAUGUGGCGAUCGGGAUUGAGGUUUGCACGAUGACGGUUUCCUGGCCUCUCAUCGACGUCCGAAUGAUGGAAGCUUGCUGAAGUUGUUUGGACGUUGGCGAAAAGGUUGGAGCGACCUCAUCGUUAAGGAUGUUGACGUA